AAAUUGAAGAGUUUGAUCAUGGCUCAGAUUGAACGCUGGCGGCAGGCCUAACACAUGCAAGUCGAACGGUAACAGGAAGCAGCUUGCUGCUUCGCUGACGAGUGGCGGACGGGUGAGUAAUGUCUGGGAAUCUGCCUGAUGGAGGGGGAUAACUACUGGAAACGGUAGCUAAUACCGCAUAACGUCGCAAGACCAAAGAGGGGGACCUU
rnacentral:rRNA from 1 species